AGGGUGUUAUAACACAAUGCACGGUUCAAACGAUAAGCUUUCCGCGAGUCUUAUAAUCUUCAAAGAGUUGUUCACUUAACAUACAUGUUCAAUCAUGUACAGUCAUGGAUAUCAAUGUUUUAGCAUGAUAAAACUAUUACAAUGCGAAAGCACGAUCUCCAUAAUCACUUGCCAUGAUAUUGUUGUUGCAUUUUUAUAGACAUGUCGAGCGUACGGACAGUGAAAGAACGCGAACUCUGGCAGUGGUACAAGAGAUGAAGAUCAAGAAGAAGAUAGAGAGGAGUACGUUAUUUUUUCCUGUCCUAAUCUUAACUUGUUUUUAGAUUUUUCGUUUAGAUGAGGAGGAGGCUGAUGAAAAGAAGAGGAUGCUGACGGAGAGACGAGGAAGAUGCUGACGGAGCUACGAGGAGGAUGCUGAUGGUGCUACGAAGAGGA